AAACCAGCACCUCAAGUGGUCAGGAUGAUUAUGGGGCCUAAAGCAUCCGUAGCCUGCUCUGUAAGUGUUCGGUUAAAUCUGUACGCUCAACGUACAGGCUGCCGGGAAUACUGCAGGGCUAGGGAGUGGGAGAGGUAGACGGUACUCGGGAGGAAGGGGUAAAAUCCUUUGAUCUCUCGAUGACCACCUGUGGCGAAGGCGGUCUACCAGAACAUGUCCGACGGUGAGGGAUGAAAGCUGGGGGAGCAAACCGGAUUAGAAACCCCUGUAGUCC
rnacentral:rRNA from 1 species